UUUGCAUGGCUAGUGUUGUUGAACUUUGUAAGGAUUUUAGAAUGUAUAUUAACUAUGUCAGGAAUAUUCAUGCUUUAUGGACGGAAGGAUAACAGUGUUAGAGGUUUAGUUGUGUUGAAAUGUAUGACUGAUAGUUACGGUUUUACUAGUAUGCUACAUCGGGUUUGUGUAUUUCAAGAUUUGCAUAGUGAACCUCAUUCGUGCUGUUGAGCAAGGCGUUGCCACAUGUUGGACGAUCUGUGGUAAAAAUCGUUCAACCCAACGAAAAUCCAGCAAAAGCUUUACAUUUCUACUGAUGAACUGCUCCUUUUCAAUCAUUGACAAGCAAGACCGCCUAUUCCUUUAAUUAGCCUUACAGAAUGAAUGAAAGAAUGAAAUUAUCGGAGAUAAAAGAUUUCUUAAGCAACAAAUUAUUGAUUGUAACAGAACAGAAUCAACUUUUUCUUGGCAUCGAAUCACUUUGAAAGUUUCCUGGUUUGGUAUUUGAAGAAAGAGACCUAGGACAAGAGCUGAAUAAAGUGCAAAUGUCGUUAAUGGACCGAUCAGAGAGACUCUUGUUACUUUGCUUAAUUUAGGUCAAAUGAGUGGGGGAGGACAGAUAUACCCUGAAGGAGCUAAAUCGCGGUUCUUUGGCAACUAGGAAUGGGCACUUAUUUAAAUGGUUCGCAACGCUUAUUAUAAUGUAAUAUGAAUGUAUAUAAACUAAAUUACAUUCAAUUGUUUCUGCUUUGCUGUGAUUUCUAAUCAAUUAUGUUCGGCGAUAUACGCGAAAGGUCCAAAUUGAAUGGCAGUCUCUGGCGUCUGGUUAUUCCAGUCUACGCCGUUAGUAUUCUCCCAUGACGCCAUUGGUAUUUUCCUGUGGGAUAUGUUUAGCCUCGUUCUUCGAGCGCCCCUUCAUUACAAAUGGCGACGAAAGCAUUUUGGUCCUCGAUUCGUGUGACAAGUUAACAUUUUCAUUUUGUCUUAAAUAUUGGAUAUCAAGAGCACCAUAUUUUCAAGGUGAUAUAACAACAACAAUGUUGAAUUUAAAUUGACCAAUAUGUCGAAGACUGUGGAUGAUACUGAGUUAGCGACUUGCCUCCUUUAAUUAUCCCCCUUACAAAAUGAAUGUGGGCGAAGCAAAGGCAUGGGCUCUCGCUAAGAAGUUAAAUCCCGAACCGGACAUGGUGAAGAAACUGGUACACUUCUGUUAUAUUGAUUAAAACAAAUACUAAAAUUGAAUAUUUAAAAGUUAAGACCGAAUAAUGCACUUGUUUAAA